CAGGGUUUGACAUCCUGCGAAUCCCUUGGAAACGUGGGAGUGCCUUCGGGAGCGCAGUGACAGGUGGUGCAUGGCUGUCGUCAGCUCGUGUCGUGAGAUGUUGGGUUAAGUCCCGCAACGAGCGCAACCCACGUCUUUAGUUGCCAGCAUUCAGUUGGGCACUCUAGAGAGACCGCCGGUGAUAAACCGGAGGAAGGUGUGGAUGACGUCAAGUCAUCAUGCCCCUUACAUCCUGGGCUACACACGUACUACAAUGCUACGGACAAAGGGCAGCAAACUCGCGAGAGCUAGCAAAUCCCAUAAACCGUGGCUCAGUUCAGAUCGUAGGCUGCAACUCGCCUACGUGAAGGAGGAAUCGCUAGUAAUCGCAGGUCAGCA
rnacentral:rRNA from 1 species